rnacentral:rRNA from 1 species
GAGCGGCGGACGGGUGAGUAACACGUGGACAAUCUCGCCCCCCGGCCCGGGAUAGCCCAGGGAAACCUGGAUUAAUACCGGAUGAGACGGGACCCGCGAUGGCGGGAUCCGGGAAAGGCGCUGCGGCGCCGCCGGGGGAUGAGUCUGCGUCCCAUUAGCUAGACGGCGGGGUAACGGCCCACCGUGGCGACGAUGGGUAGCCGGCCUGAGAGGGUGGACGGCCACAUUGGAACUGAGACACGGUCCAGACUCCUACGGGAGGCAGCAGCUAAGAAUCUUCCGCAAUGGGCGAAAGCCUGACGGAGCGACGCCCGCGUGAACGAAGAAGGCCGUGAGGUUGUAAAGUUCUUUUCGGGAGGGGGAACAACCGUGGCAGGGAAUGGCCGCGGGAUGACGUGAAUCCCGGAAUAAGCCCCGGCUAACUACGUGCCAGCAGCGGC